rnacentral:rRNA from 1 species
GACGAACGCUGGCGGCGUGCUUAACACAUGCAAGUCGAACGGAAAGGCCCUGCUCUUGCGGGGUGCUCGAGUGGCGAACGGGUGAGUAACACGCGAGUAACCUGUCCUUGUCUUUGGGAUAACUUCAGGAAACUGGGGCUAAUACCGGGUAGGAGCUACUGCUGCAUGGGGGGGGUUGGAAAGUGUCGGCGGUUGGGGAUGGACUCGCGGCUUAUCAGCUUGUUGGUGGGGUAGUGGCUUACCAAGGCUUUGAAGGGUAGCCGGCCUGAGAGGGUGACCGGCCACAUUGGGACUGAGAUACGGCCCAGACUCCUACGGGAGGCAGCAGUGGGGAAUAUUGCACAAUGGGCGGAAGCCUGAUGCAGCAACGCCGCGUGCGGGAUGACGGCCUUCGGGUUGUAAACCGCUUUCGCCUGUGACGAAGCGUGAGUGACGGUAAUGGGUAAAGAAGCACCGGCUAACUACGUG